AGUGACUUCAGGUUAUUUCGAGAGUAGUUUCUAGCUACAGUGAGGUCUGCUUUGUACCUUUGAAAAAAACAAACUAUAUAAAAUCAAAGUUUACGUUUAUGGCAUGAAGUAAAAUACGACCCGGUAUACACGGUUAAAUACAAAAUACCACUCAAUAUUACCAAAAUAUUAAUUUCACUAUCUACUUGUAUUUGUAGACAAAAACGUAAAUACAUAAAAAUAAACAGAACUAAUGAAGAUUUAUAAAGCCAAAUAAAUGUUCAUGAAAAUUCCUUGUCCUCUAAAUUUUGCUUGGUUACAUAUUCGUAGUAUGGGGUCUCCCAGAAGAGAGUCUCGAAUUUUGUAGCCCGAAUAAAGAUUUCGAUUAAUUCUUGAAUGCGUUCCGGUGAUAAUUUCAAAACAAUCUCCUCUAUUUGUCGACAGCCUCUUCGAACGGCGCUCAAGUAAUCCUCACAAAAAUAGUUGUCAACCCAUUUUUGAUAGGGGCCCUGGGGAUUGCGAAAUGGUUCUUUCAUGAGUCGAGCUGCGAUUACAUAGUAGCCUAUUAAACAAGGUGCUUGAACAAAAUCUAAAGCUGCAACAUCCUGAGCGGCACCGGUGUCUAAAAUAUAUCGAGAGUAUGCAGUGCAAGCUGGACUUUCUUCACAACUCUUCAAAUCCUGUAAGCUAACUCCGUAUGAUGAGCACAUAGAGACAUGCAGCUCUUUUUCUUCAAUUACAUGAAUUACACUUUGCGCUGCUUCGAGAAUGUUAGGAAAGGUGUUUUCUUUGUAGCCUUUCAAAGAAUAAGCACGAGCAAAGUUAACAAGGUAAAGAUAAUCUUGUUUAAGAUAAUCUUGAAAUGCAGGUAAAGGAAGUGUGCCUUUAGCAAGCAUGUUGGUGAAUUUAUGAUUGAUAUACUCUUUCCAAGCAGGGACGACUUGCGGAUGGCUCAGUAUGUAUUCAAUAAAAUGCCCUGGUGCAAAAGGUACUAUACGAAGUCUAGUCAUGUGAUUUAAAAUAUUUGUGCUACAAUUGUUAAUAGGAGGACUGUGGGUUAUAGCACCAUGGACAUAAUCAAUUCCAAAUUGAACAGCCUCAGUAAGACUAUGUUCCCAUGCUAGGAAAGAAGCAAUUGCAGAACUUAAUGUGCAUCCCGUUCCAUGCACUUCACCUUUCUUUAGAUACGAAGAAGAAAAAUGAUAAAAUCUAUUUCCAUCGUAUAGUAUAUCGACUACUCGCAAAUCUUCGUCAUCCGAUGAUUUAAGGCCUAAAUUAUUAACUGGCAUAUGACCACCUUUUAGUAAAACAUGUUUUGGGCCCAACUUAUGUAUUACGGCGGCACACCUUUCCAUGUCAGAAACAGAGUUUAUGUUGGAUAUAUCUAAUCCCUGAUUUUUUGCCAAUACUAUAGCUUCAGGAAUAUUUGGCGUGACUAAGUAAGUCAAAGGAAGAAGCUCUUCAUUAAGAACUGAAACAAUGUCUUUCGUAACGAGAGAAUCCCCAGAAGUGGCCACCAUCACGGGGUCUACCACCAGCUUCGAAAAGUUGAAUUUCUUGGCAGAACGUGCAACUGCCUUAACGAUUUCAGGGCUGCCAAGCAUACCUGUUUUCACGACAUGACAAGGUAUGUCUCGAAUGCAACAAUCGAUUUGAGAUUCUACGAAGGCAGGAGACAUUUCCUCAACAGAGUCUACUCCACCAGCGUUCUCAGCAACUAAACAAGUAAUAGCACUCAUACCAUAUACACCUAAACUGGUCAUGGUCUUCAAAUCAGCUUGAAUUCCGGCACCACCACUGCAAUCAGAACCGGCAAUGGUUAGACUAACUGGAAGAGCCCGACGCUUGAUGGUAUAGCCCAUUGGAUCCAAUACUGUUUCUAUCCGCGAAGGAUCAAACUGAUUGGAAAGCGAUUCAUAAAGAGGGUUAUACGGCAUGAUAGAUAUUGACUGGAAAUUUUGUAAAAUAAAUGGUCCUAAAUAUAGUUAUAAAGCAGAAUUUAUGUGUUAAAUUUUCCUCAGCAAAUAGCGAAUUUGGUAUGCAAAGGAUUCUCAGAAAGAAAAGGGAUUGAGAACAAAUAUACCGCAAAAAAGACGAUAUUAACUCAAGUAGACCCAAUUUGAGGUUUUGUGAUACAAAAAACGUUUUAUUUGUUUUGUAAACAUACUCUUUAUAUAUGCAUGAGUGUUCGUGUGUAUGUAAGCGCCGUUUUUUCACGGACUCAUAUAACCGAACCCCAUUUUUCGUAGUAGUAGUUCGUUUUUCUGCCUACAUAAAAUGGAUGAGAUCCAUGAUAUAAGGAUCUGGAUAUUCGUUUUUUUGUUUUCUUCAUGAAAUGUGGCAUUACCUGGAUCAGCACUAGAAAUUGAUUUUAAUAGCAGCGCAUAUUUUGC
rnacentral:lncRNA from 1 species